CUGCGGAAGGAUCAUUACCGAGUGAGGGCCCUCUGGGUCCAACCUCCCACCCAUGUUUAUUGUACCUUGUUGCUUCGGCGGGCCCGCCUCACGGCCGCCGGGGGGCUUCUGCCCUCUGGCCCGCGCCCGCCGAAGACACCAUUGAACACUGUCUGAAGAUUGCAGUCUGAGCAAUUAGCUAAAUAAGUUAAAACUUUCAACAACGGAUCUCUUGGUUCCGGCAUCGAUGAAGAACGCAGCGAAAUGCGAUACGUAAUGUGAAUUGCAGAAUUCAGUGAAUCAUCGAGUCUUUGAACGCACAUUGCGCCCCUUGGUAUUCCGGGGGGCAUGCCUGUCCGAGCGUCAUUGCUGCCCUCAAGCACGGCUUGUGUGUUGGGCCCCGUCCUCCUUCCCGGGGGACGGGCCCGAAAGGCAGCGGCGGCACCGCGUCCGGUCCUCGAGCGUAUGGGGCUUUGUCACCCGCUCUUGUAGGCCCGGCCGGCGCUUGCCGACAACCAUCAAUCUUUUUUCAGGUUGACCUCGGAUCAGGUAGGGAUACCCGCUGAACUUAAGCAUAUCAAUAAGCGGAGGAAAAGAAACCAACAGGGAUUGCCUCAGUAACGGCGAGUGAAGCGGCAAGAGCUCAAAUUUGAAAGCUGGCCCCCUCGGGGUCCGCAUUGUAAUUUGCAGAGGAUGCUUCGGGAGUGGCCCCCAUCUAAGUGCUCUGGAACGGGCCGUCAUAGAGGGUGAGAAUCCCGUAUGGGGAUGGGGUGUCCGCGACCAUG
rnacentral:rRNA from 1 species